rnacentral:lncRNA from 1 species
CUUGCUGUGACCGACAGCAUCAGCACUAUUGUGGAUGAGAGGGAUAGAGAUAGAGGCUGCUCUGCCUUUCAUACAACACAACGUCGCAGUCACUAAUUAGUAUGCUAAUAAUUAACGAUAGUCGCUUUCAGUACAAGAAGUAACUUUUAAAUCAGUUAGGAUACUUCGUUUUUGCAUGAAAGGACGCGCGAGCGAGCAGCAACCUGACAACUAGCCUACAAUUUGAGAUUUGAAAGGUUGUAACAGUAGUAUCCCUGCAGCAGCCAAGUUGCAUGCAAAAUAGCCUUAUUGAGCCGAGGCUCGGACUACUGCACAUCACACUGGAGAGUCUCUUCGCUUCCAAGAACAAGGAUGAACAGGAGAAACUGAGGUGGAUCAUCUCAAGUGUUGUGGCUCUGGUGUGAUAAAUGUCAGCCUGUCCUGAUAUUUGUAUGGGUCUUUCUCCUCAACCAAAGAUCUCUCCUGGCAGACUGAACAAACGAGUCGACUCUCUGCCUGUCCUCAGUCAACUUGUGGUCUGACGGCACUCACCGACAUCAAAGGUACACCCACCACUCUCUCUGCACCUCCACUUCCUUUAAUCACUUUGUUCAGCUCAUCAUUGCAGUAAUUACAUUUCCUGACAGUUUUUUUUUAGUUUGCAAAUCCAAGACUUCACUUUCUCUGUUAUCUCUCCUCAAGGGAG